CCCAUUCCACCAGAUUUUGUUCUCUUGGCGGGCGCCCUUUGUCAACUGAUCUUCUUCCUGUUAGAAUCUCCAAGAGAACAACUCCAAAACUGUAUACAUCACUCAUUGCUGUCAAGUGUCCUAUAUGGAAGAAAAAAACAUUGUACGUGUAAGAAUAAUUGAGUGACCAAUUAAUUCAUUGAUUGCUGUUCAAGUGAACCAUGCUCAUUGUGUUUUACUUUUAGUGAAAUUAUUUUUACCUGUCAUGAUGUAUUCUGGGGCCGCGUACCCUUGUGUGCCCAUCACUCUAGUUGAAACGUGUGUGUCAUCUCCUUCGGGACCAUCUUUUGCCAAGCCAAAAUCAGAAAGCUUUGCAUCAUAAUCCUGAAAGAAUGAAUGGCCAGAGUGAGUUAAUAAACAAUUAAGGGGUUCAAUUGUUCAGACGCAACACUAGAGUAUGUAUGACAGAGAAAGUGAUCAAUUCAUUACUUACAGAGUCUAACAAUAUGUUUGAAGCUUUGAAAUCUCUAUAGAUGACUGGUUUUUUUGCUUCAUGUAGAAAGGCUAGACCCUUUGCUGCUCCAGCAGCAAUUUUCAUUCUUGUUGACCAUGUUAACGACGCCGUAAAUCCUGUAAGCCGAAAAAAAUUAAGGUUUAGUCCUUCAACACUAUGCAAAGUGAAUAUAAUAAUAGAAAAAAAAAGUGUUCUUAAGAACUAUGUUAUUGUCAUAGAAAUCUUACUUCUAAAUAGUUGAUUCUCUAAGCUGCCUCGUGGUAGAUAUUCAUACACCAGAAGCCUGUGUUCUUCUUCACAGCAAUAUCCAAUCAACUUCACCAGAUGUUGAUGCCUUAGUUGACCCAGAAACACAACUUCAGUCUGUCAUCAGAAAACCAGAGGGAAAGGUCACAAGUCAGAACUAUGUGGUACUAAUAAAUAUUAAUCAAGCAAAUCAUAAGCAAUAAAUGAAAAAUUAAACCAUGGUAGUACCACAUUAUUAAUAAUAGUCUAAGCUGUUAAAAGUGUUCUGAGGAUAUUAUAAGUUUUUUAAAAAGGUAAAAAAGUAUUUUAUAAAACAAAAUUAUCCACUCUUAUUUUCUCAUGGCAUUUGCAUCAGGUGGAAAGGGGUACUCACCAACCACUCUCGGUGCCCCUGAGAACCGUCCAAGUCCAAGAGCUUGACGGCCACCGGUUGAGCCUCGAGGCCAGGCCUAAGCUUGUC
rnacentral:lncRNA from 1 species